rnacentral:tRNA from 1 species
GCCACUGUGGCUUAGUUGGUAGAGCAUCUGAUUCGUAAUCAGAAGGUCGGGAGUUCGAGUCUCCCCAGUGGCUCCA